GACGAACGCUGGCGGCGUGCUUAACACAUGCAAGUCGAACGGAAAGGCCCUGCUUUUGUGGGGUGCUUGAGUGGCGAACGGGUGAGUAACACGUGAGUAACCUGCCCUUGACUUUGGGAUAACUUCAGGAAACUGGGGCUAAUACCGGAUAGGAGCUCCUGCUGCAUGGUGUGUGUUGGAAAGUUUCGGCGGUUGGGGAUGGACUCGCGGCUUAUCAGCUUGUUGGUGGGGUAGUGGCUUACCAAGGCUUUGACGGGUAGCCGGCCUGAGAGGGUGACCGGCCACAUUGGGACUGAGAUACGGCCCAGACUCCUACGGGAGCCAGCAGUGGGGAAUAUUGCACAAUGGGCGGAAGCCUGAUGCAGCAACGCCGCGUGCGGGAUGACGGCCUUCGGGUUGUAAACCGCUUUCGCCUGUGACGAAGAGUGAGUGACGGUAAUGGGUAAAGAAGCACCGGCUAACUACGUG
rnacentral:rRNA from 1 species